rnacentral:rRNA from 1 species
GAUGAACGCUGGCGGCAUGCCUUACACAUGCAAGUCGAACGGCAGCACGGGAGCAAUCCUGGUGGCGAGUGGCGAACGGGUGAGUAAUACAUCGGAACGUGCCCAGUAGUGGGGGAUAGCCCGGCGAAAGCCGGAUUAAUACCGCAUGAGACCUGAGGGUGAAAGCGGGGGAUCGCAAGACCUUGCGCUAUUGGAGCGGCCGAUGUCAGAUUAGCUAGUUGGUAGGGUAAAGGCCUACCAAGGCAACGAUCUGUAGUUGGUCUGAGAGGACGACCAGCCACACUGGGACUGAGACACGGCCCAGACUCCUACGGGAGGCAGCAGUGGGGAAUUUUGGACAAUGGGCGCAAGCCUGAUCCAGCAAUGCCGCGUGCAGGAAGAAGGCCUUCGGGUUGUAAACUGCUUUUGUCAGGGAAGAAAUCUUCUGGGCUAAUACCCUGGGAGGAUGACGGUACCUGAAGAAUAAGCACCGGCUAACUACGUGCCAGCCGCCGCAGUAAAAC